CUUUCCUAUGAGACCGGCUGAAUGCGCGCGCAGCUCUUGCCGCGCGUGCGCAUUCAGCCGGCGGGGCGGAACGGAGGAGGAUCGGAGGAGGAGAGCUCCCCGCCCAGCGCUGGAAAAAGGUAAGUUUUUACCCCUCUCCCCCUUCCAGAGCCGGGCGGGAGGGGGUCCCUGAGGGUGGGGGCACCCUCAGGGCACUAUAGUGCCAGGAAAACGAGUAUGUUUUCCUGGCACUAUAGUGGUCCUUUAA
rnacentral:lncRNA from 1 species